rnacentral:rRNA from 1 species
CAAUAGCGUAUAUUAAAGUUGUUGCAGUUAAAAAGCUCGUAGUUGGAUUUCUGCUGAGGACGAUCGGUCCGCCCACUGGGUGAGUAUCUGGCUCGGCCUUGGCAUCUUCUUGGGGAACGUUGCUGCACUUGACUGUGUGGCGCGGUAUCCAGGACUUUUACUUUGAGGAAAUUAGAGUGUUUCAAGCAGGCGCACGCCUUGAAUACAUUAGCAUGGAAUAAUGAGAUAGGACCUUGGUUCUAUUUUGUUGGUUUCUAGAGCUGAGGUAAUGAUUAAUAGGGAUAGUUGGGGGCAUUCGUAUUUAACUGUCAGAGGUGAAAUUCUUGGAUUUGUUAAAGAUGGACUACUGCGAAAGCAUUUGCCAAGGAUGUUUUCAUUGA